rnacentral:sRNA from 1 species
UAUUCUGCCCCACGGGGAAGGAUGAGAAGCUUCGACUAAGGUUCGACUCGAGCGAAGCGAGAGAACGUUGCCGCAGGCAAAGGCCCGAAG